rnacentral:tRNA from 1 species
GGGGGCGUAGCGAAGCAGGUUAUCGCGCCGGCCUGUCAAGCCGGAGAUCGCGGGUUCAAGUCCCGUCGCUCCCG